UGAAAGCUCUAGAUUUUCCUGACUGUGC
rnacentral:piRNA from 1 species